UUUAAGGUCUAACCUGCCCAAUGAGGAUUUAAAUGGCCGCAGUAUUUUGACUGUGCAAAGGUAGCAUAAUUAUUAGUUUUUUAAUUGAAAGCUUGUAUGAAGGGUUGGACUAGGUAAAACCUGUCUCUAUUUAAUUUAAAAUAGAAUUUAACUUUUGAGUCAAAAGGCUCAAAUAUUUAUAAAAGACGAGAAGACCCUAUAGAUCUUUAUUUAAUUAAUAUUUUGAUAAUUUAGGAUUAAUUUAGUUUAAAGUUUUAAUUAAAUUUUAUUGGGGUAAUAUAAAGAUUAAAUAAAUUCUUUUUAUUAAUUACAUUGAUUUAUGAAUUUGUGAUCCAAUAUUAUUGAUUAUAAGAUUAAGUUACCUUAGGGAUAACAGCGUAAUUUUUUUGGAGAGCUCAUAUCGAUAAAAAAGUUUGCGACCUCGAUGUUGGAUUAAAAGUUAGCUUGGGUGCAGAAGCUCAAGAUUUUGGUCUGUUCGACCAUUAAAUUUUUACAUGAUCUGAGUUCAGACCGGCGUAAGCCAGGUCGGUUUCUAUCUUUAUUUUAUUAAAAUAUUUUAGUACGAAAGGACCAAAUAUUUAAUAUAUUAAUAUUUAAUUUUUGAAUAAUAUUAUUGCUUUGGCAGAUUAGUGCAAUGAAUUUAGAAUUCAUGAAUGUAAUUAUAUUACAAGUAAUACUUGUAUUUAGGAGAUUUACUUUCAAUGGUACUUUGUAUAUUAAUUCUCGUAAUUUGUGUAUUAGUUGGGGUCGCUUUUUUGACAUUACUAGAGCGAAGGGUGUUGGGAUAUAUUCAAAUUCGUAAGGGCCCCAAUAAGGUUG
rnacentral:rRNA from 1 species